CAGGCUUAACACAUGCAAGUCGAGGGGCAGCAUGGUCUUAGCUUGCUAAGGCCGAUGGCGACCGGCGCACGGGUGAGUAACACGUAUCCAACCUGCCGUCUACUCUUGGACAGCCUUCUGAAAGGAAGAUUAAUACAAGAUGGCAUCAUGAGUCCGCAUGUUCACAUGAUUAAAGGUAUUCCGGUAGACGAUGGGGAUGCGUUCCAUUAGAUAGUAGGCGGGGUAACGGCCCACCUAGUCUUCGAUGGAUAGGGGUUCUGAGAGGAAGGUCCCCCACAUUGGAACUGAGACACGGUCCAAACUCCUACGGGAGGCAGCAGUGAGGAAUAUUGGUCAAUGGGCGAGAGCCUGAACCAGCCAAGUAGCGUGAAGGAUGACUGCCCUAUGGGUUGUAAACUUCUUUUAUAAAGGAAUAAAGUCGGGUAUGGAUACCCGUUUGCAUGUACUUUAUGAAUAAGGAUCGGCUAACUCCGUGCCAGCAGCCGCGGUAAUACGGAGGAUCCGAGCGUUAUCCGGAUUUAUUGGGUUUAAAGGGAGCGUAGAUGGAUGUUUAAGUCAGUUGUGAAAGUUUGCGGCUCAACCGUAAAAUUGCAGUUGAUACUGGAUAUCUUGAGUGCAGUUGAGGCAGGCGGAAUUCGUGGUGUAGCGGUGAAAUGCUUAGAUAUCACGAAGAACUCCGAUUGCGAAGGCAGCCUGCUAAGCUGCAACUGACAUUGAGGCUCGAAAGUGUGGGUAUCAAACAGGAUUAGAUACCCUGGUAGUCCACACGGUAAACGAUGAAUACUCGCUGUUUGCGAUAUACUGCAAGCGGCCAAGCGAAAGCGUUAAGUAUUCCACCUGGGGAGUACGCCGGCAACGGUGAAACUCAAAGGAAUUGACGGGGGCCCGCACAAGCGGAGGAACAUGUGGUUUAAUUCGAUGAUACGCGAGGAACCUUACCCGGGCUUAAAUUGCAGAUGAAUUACGGUGAAAGCUGUAAGCCGCAAGGCAUCUGUGAAGGUGCUGCAUGGUUGUCGUCAGCUCGUGCCGUGGGGUGUCGGCUUAAGUGCCAUAACGAGCGCAACCCUUGUUGUCAGUUACUAACAGGUUCCGCUGAGGACGCUGACAAGACUGCCAUCGUAAGAUGUGAGGAAGGUGGGGAUGACGUCAAAUCAGCACGGCCCUUACGUCCGGGGCUACACACGUGUUACAAUGGGGGGUACAGAGGGCCGGUACCACGCGAGUGGAUGCCAAUCCCCAAAACCUCUCUCAGUUCGGACUGGAGUCUGCAACCCGACUCCACGAAGCUGGAUUCUCUAGUAAUCGCGCAUCAGCCACGGCGCGGUGAAUACGUUCCCGGGCCUUGUACACACCGCCCGUCAAGCCAUGGGAGCCGGGGGUACCUGAAGUGCGUAACCGCGAGGAGCGCCCUAGGGUAAAACUGGUGACUGGGG
rnacentral:rRNA from 1 species